CCACUUAAUGAUGACAAAGUUGUCACCUAUAUACUUAGUGGUCUCAACAACGUCUAUGACCCACUGGUGACCUCCCUCACCACACGCAUGGAGCAGGUAACUCUAAGUAAUCUAUACACUCAUCUAAUGAGUUUUGAGA